rnacentral:rRNA from 1 species
AGAGUUUGAUCCUGGCUCAGGAUGAACGCUAGCUACAGGCUUAACACAUGCAAGUCGAGGGGCAGCAUGGUCUUAGCUUGCUAAGGCCGAUGGCGACCGGCGCACGGGUGAGUAACACGUAUCCAACCUGCCGUCUACUCUUGGACAGCCUUCUGAAAGGAAGAUUAAUACAAGAUGGCAUCAUGAGUCCGCAUGUUCACAUGAUUAAAGGUAUUCCGGUAGACGAUGGGGAUGCGUUCCAUUAGAUAGUAGGCGGGGUAACGGCCCACCUAGUCUUCGAUGGAUAGGGGUUCUGAGAGGAAGGUCCCCCACAUUGGAACUGAGACACGGUCCAAACUCCUACGGGAGGCAGCAGUGAGGAAUAUUGGUCAAUGGGCGAGAGCCUGAACCAGCCAAGUAGCGUGAAGGAUGACUGCCCUAUGGGUUGUAAACUUCUUUUAUAAAGGAAUAAAGUCGGGUAUGCAUACCCGUUUGCAUGUACUUUAUGAAUAAGGAUCGGCUAACUCCGUGCCAGCAGCCGCGGUAAUACGGAGGAUCCGAGCGUUAUCCGGAUUUAUUGGGUUUAAAGGGAGCGUAGAUGGAUGUUUAAGUCGGUUGUGAAAGUUUGCGGCUCAACCGUAAAAUUGCAGUUGAUACUGGAUAUCUUGAGUGCAGUUGAGGCAGGCGGAAUUCGUGGUGUAGCGGUGAAAUGCUUAGAUAUCACGAAGAACUCCGAUUGCGAAGGCAGCCUGCUAAGCUGCAACUGACAUUGAGGCUCGAAAGUGUGGGUAUCAAACAGGAUUAGAUACCCUGGUAGUCCACACGGUAAACGAUGAAUACUCGCUGUUUGCGAUAUACAGCAAGCGGCCAAGCGAAAGCGUUAAGUAUGCCACCUGGGGAGUACGCCGGCAACGGUGAAACUCAAAGGAAUUGACGGGGGCCCGCACAAGCGGAGGAACAUGUGGUUUAAUUCGAUGAUACGCGAGGAACCUUACCCGGGCUUAAAUUGCAGAUGAAUUACGGUGAAAGCCGUAAGCCGCAAGGCAUCUGUGAAGGUGCUGCAUGGUUGUCGUCAGCUCGUGCCGUGAGGUGUCGGCUUAAGUGCCAUAACGAGCGCAACCCUUGUUGUCAGUUACUAACAGGUCAUGCUGAGGACUCUGACAAGACUGCCAUCGUAAGAUGUGAGGAAGGUGGGGAUGACGUCAAAUCAGCACGGCCCUUACGUCCGGGGCUACACACGUGUUACAAUGGGGGGUACAGAGGGCCGCUACCACGCGAGUGGAUGCCAAUCCCCAAAACCUCUCUCAGUUCGGACUGGAGUCUGCAACCCGACUCCACGAAGCCGGAUUCGCUAGUAAUCGCGCAUCAGCCACGGCGCGGUGAAUACGUUCCCGGGCCUUGUACACACCGCCCGUCAAGCCAUGGGAGCCGGGGGUACCUGAAGUGCGUAACCGCGAGGAGCGCCCUAGGGUAAAACUGGUGACUGGGGCUAAGUCGUAACAAGGUA